rnacentral:rRNA from 1 species
UACGAAGGGUGCAAGCGUUACUCGGAAUUACUGGGCGUAAAGCGUGCGUAGGCGGUUUGUUAAGUCUGUCGUGAAAGCCCCGGGCUCAACCUGGGAAUGGCGAUGGAUACUGGCGAGCUAGAGUACGGUAGAGGAGAGUGGAAUUCCCGGUGUAGCAGUGAAAUGCGUAGAGAUCGGGAGGAACAUCAGUUGCGAAGGCGGCUCUCUGGACCAGUACUGACGCUGAGACGCGAAAGCGCGGGGAGCGAACGGG